UGGGAAAGCUCAGUCGGUAGAGCAUGAGACUCUUGAUCACAGGGUCAUGGGUUUGAGCCCUAUGUAGGGCAAAA